AUUGAACGCUAGCGGGAUGCUUUACACAUGCAAGUCGAACGGCAGCGCGGACUUCGGUCUGGCGGCGAGUGGCGAACGGGUGAGUAAUGUAUCGGAACGUGCCCAGUAGCGGGGGAUAACUACGCGAAAGCGUAGCUAAUACCGCAUACGCCCUACGGGGGAAAGCCGGGGAUCGUAAGACCUUGCACUAUUGGAGCGGCCGAUAUCGGAUUAGCUAGUUGGUGAGGUAACGGCUCACCAAGGCGACGAUCCGUAGCUGGUUUGAGAGGACGACCAGCCACACUGGGACUGAGACACGGCCCAGACUCCUACGGGAGGCAGCAGUGGGGAAUUUUGGACAAUGGGGGCAACCCUGAUCCAGCCAUCCCGCGUGUGCGAUGAAGGCCUUCGGGUUGUAAAGCACUUUUGGCAGGAAAGAAACGUCGCGGGCUAAUACCCCGUGGAACUGACGGUACCUGCAGAUUAAGCACCGGCUAACUACGUG
rnacentral:rRNA from 1 species